ensembl:lncRNA
UUCAAGGAAAUGGCAGGGAUGUAGAGUGUGGAGUUGGGAAGAGAAGAGAAGAGGAAAGGAGCAGAGGGAGGAGAAGGAGAGAACGGAAGGGGAGCGCAAGAAAAAUAGAGGAGUCAAUUGAGAGUGAGAGAGAACCUGUGAAAGUGGCUGACCUCCCACCACACACUCAGUGGUAAAGGAGAUGUCAUCCAGGGCGAUGUCAGUCCACACGUCACCCCCCCCACUUCUGCCUGGAAGGUCACUCUGAAGGGGGCCGUGUUGGACAGGAUCAUACUGGCAUAGAAACACCGAUCACCAUGGUUACUGCUGGCGGCCCACAUCAGCAGGCGGGUCCCACUUGGACCAACCAUGUAGACCUGAGUGACACGCCACGAGAUUUCAGCACUAUAAAUGUCACUUAGCCAUGACUUAACAAGGGAGAGACACAAGGACCUGAGCCCAAGGAUCAUGCCUCAGGACAACCUGGCCUGAUGACUCCUGGCUGUCCCCAGUCUACCUGGUCGUGCUGAAGCUCCAGUUUCAACUGUUCUACCUGCGGCUAUGGAACCCUGACCUCUUCACUGAACGUGCUACAUUGACCCAAACCUGCUGUUUUCGGCUCUCUUUCUCUCUACCCCACCUGCUCAGCUAUGAAAAGCAAACUGACAUUUACUCCUGAGGUACUGAAUUGUUGCACCCUCUACAAGCACUGUGAUUAUUUUUUGAUGUUCAUCUAUGAACGUUAAACAUCUUGAGGAACAAUCUCCAUCCAGCACAGCCAGAAGAGGACUGGCCACCCCUCAGAGCCUGGUUCCUCUCUAGGUUUCUUCCUAGGUUACUGCCAGUCUAGUGAGUUUUUCCGAGCCACCGUGCUUCUAGAUCUGCAUUGCUGUUUGGGGUUUUAGGCUGGGUUUCUGUGUAGCACGUUGUGACAUCUGCUUAUGUAAAAAAGGGCUUUAUAAAUACAUUUGACUGAUUGAUUGAAAAUUAUCUGUAAAUAUAUUUGAGCAUUUGAUCAUUGCUGUUCCGCUAUAGAUAUGUUUCAAC